ACGAGUGUAGCUCAGUUGGUAGAGCAGCGGUCUCCAAAACCGCCGGUCGGGGGUUCGAGUCCCUCCACUCGUGCCA
rnacentral:tRNA from 1 species